CCUACGGGUGGCAGCAGUGGGGAAUAUUGCACAAUGGGGGAAACCCUGAUGCAGCGACGCCGCGUGAGUGAAGAAGUAUUUCGGUGUGUAAAGCUCUAUCAGCAGGGAAGAAAAUGACGGUACCUGACUAAGAAGCCCCGGCUAACUACGUGCCAGCAGCCGCGGUAAUACGUAGGGGGCAAGCGUUAUCCGGAUUUACUGGGUGUAAAGGGGGCGUAGACGGCGGAGCAAGUCAGAAGUGAAAGCCCGGGGCUCAACCCCGGGAGUGCUUUUGAAACUGUUUGGCUGGAGUGCAGGAGGGGUAAGCGGAAUUCCUGGUGUAGCGGUGAAAUGCGUAGAUAUUAGGAGGAACACCAGUGGCGAAGGCGGCUUACUGGACUGUAACUGACGUUGAGGCUCGAAAGCGUGGGGAGCAAACAGGAUUAGAUACCCGUGUAGUC
rnacentral:rRNA from 1 species